rnacentral:rRNA from 1 species
GACGAACGCUGGCGGCGUGCUUAACACAUGCAAGUCGAGCGGUAAGGCCUUUCGGGGUACACGAGCGGCGAACGGGUGAGUAACACGUGGGUGAUCUGCCCUGCACUUCGGGAUAAGCCUGGGAAACUGGGUCUAAUACCGGAUAUGACCUCCUAUCGCAUGGUGGGUGGUGGAAAGAUUUAUCGGUGCAGGAUGGGCCCGCGGCCUAUCAGCUUGUUGGUGGGGUAAUGGCCUACCAAGGCGACGACGGGUAGCCGACCUGAGAGGGUGACCGGCCACACUGGGACUGAGACACGGACCAGACUCCUACGGGAGGCAGCAGUGGGGAAUAUUGCACAAUGGGCGAAAGCCUGAUGCAGCGACGCCGCGUGAGGGAUGACGGCCUUCGGGUUGUAAGCCUCUUUCAGCAGGGACGAAGCGCAAGUGACGGUACCUGCAGAAGAAGCACCGGCUAACUACGUG